rnacentral:rRNA from 1 species
UACGUAGGGUGCGAGCGUUACUCGGAAUUACUGGGCGUAAAGCGUGCGCAGGCGGUGAGCUGAGUCCGGUGUGAAAGCCCCGGGCUUAACCUGGGAAUGGCAUUGGAAACUGGCUCGCUGGAGUGUGGCAGAGGGGGGUGGAAUUCCGCGUGUAGCAGUGAAAUGCGUAGAGAUGCGGAGGAACACCGAUGGCGAAGGCAGCCCCCUGGGCUAACACUGACGCUCAGGCACGAAAGCGUGGGGAGCAAACAGG